rnacentral:misc_RNA from 1 species
CCACGCCCGAAGUCGUUACCCCAACCGAAAGGGGGGGGAUGCCUAAGGUAGGACUGAUGACUGGGGUGAAGUCGUAACAAGGUAGCCGUACCGGAAGGUGUGGCUGGAUCACCUCCUUUUAGGGAGACCUAAUCCAUUUAGAAAUCGAAAACAAUGAAAAUUGUCAAUAGAAACUAAAGUGGUCUAACCUAGGUCGUUCGAGAUUGGUAGAUAUCUUUCAAAGUAUUAUUCGGCUUCGUUCAAAACCAUAUAUAAUAAAUGGAAAAAAGACAGCACCUAAUUGAAAAAGUUAGACUGCUGGAUGAAAUUCCAGCCAGAACCUUGAAAACUGCAUAAGAGAACGAGAAAAAGCAGGCAGACACAGACAUUUAGAUGGAUGUGAAAGCAAAGAAAAAUUGUGGUCAAGCUAAUAAGGGCUAAUGGUGGAUACCUAGGCACACAGAGGAAGGGC